CCUGCCUGCCCUGUGACUCUAAGUUUAACGGCCGCGGUAUUUUGACCGUGCAAAGGUAGCGCAAUCACUUGUCUUUUAAAUGAAGACCUGUAUGAAUGGCAAGACGAGGGCUAGACUGUCUCCUUUUCCCAGUCAAUGAAAUUGAUCUCCCCGUGCAGAAGCGGGGAUAAAAUUAUAAGACGAGAAGACCCUAUGGAGCUUUAGACACUAGAAAGCCCACGUCCAACAACUUUCUAUAAAAAGAAAAACUUAGUGGCACCUUAUCUACUUGUCUUCGGUUGGGGCGACCGCGGGGGAUAAACCAGCCCCCAUGUGGAAUAGGAAUAUUUUCCUAGAACCAAGAAAUACUUUUCUAAGCAACAGAAAUUCUGACCAAAAUGAUCCGGCAAAGCCGAUCAACGGACCCAGUUACCCUAGGGAUAACAGCGCAAUCCCCUUCCAGAGUCCCUAUCGACGAGGGGGUUUACGACCUCGAUGUUGGAUCAGGACAUCCUAAUGGUGCAACCGCUAUUAAGGG
rnacentral:rRNA from 1 species